rnacentral:rRNA from 1 species
GAUCAUGGCUCGGGAUGAACGCUGGCGGCGUGCCUAACACAUGCAAGUCGAACGAAGCUUGACGGAUGAUUUCUUCGGAAUGAAACCAGAUAUGACUUAGUGGCGGACGGGUGAGUAACACGUGAGCAACCUGCCUUUCAGAGGGGGAUAACGGCUGGAAACGGUCGCUAAUACCGCAUGAUGUGUUCGGAUGGCAUCAUCUGAACAUCAAAGAUUUAUCGCUGAAAGA